rnacentral:rRNA from 1 species
CAACAACGGAUCUCUUGGUUCUGGCAUCGAUGAAGAACGCAGCAAAAUGCGAUAAGUAAUGUGAAUUGCAGAAUUCAGUGAAUCAUCGAAUCUUUGAACGCACAUUGCGCCCGCCAGUAUUCUGGCGGGCAUGCCUGUUCGAGCGUCAUUUCAACCC